UUGAAUGCCUCAAUCACUGCGGGCUGAUUGUGCGUAUCCAGCCGCGUCACGUAGCCUCCUCUUUGUCCGUGUAAAAGUGGACGCGUUUCCUCUCUGUGUGCGCUCGUACAUUCAACUGUUUUAAAAAGGAUCUAAAUUGUCUCGAGGAACCGAACGAGAGAAGCAGAGAAAUGGAGGGAGAGAAAGCGCCUGAAGAAUAUCGAGGGAUCGCACCACCACCGUGCCGUUAGGAAUCUACACCUCCUCUUUUGGCACUCUGCGGAAUACCAUUCGAAAUUCGCAUUAUCGCAACGAGUGUACUUUAUGAGACUCCGUGUUGCAACGAACGAGGCAACCGGUGAAACAGAGGGACGGUGGAAGUGGUUUGAAGAAGGUUGAGAGGUUCGAACGAAGGAUUUUCUGGCAAUCGUUGCUUGCUGAAUGCAAAAUGUGUGUCUCUUUAGGCUGCUGCUUGGUUUUUAUCGAGAUAGAGCGAUAGAAUCGUAGAAGCAGAGACAAGUAUCUUCUUGUGUAAGUGAACGUCUUUUUUACCGGACCGGUUUGCGUACUUUGCAGUUAAUCGCUGCUUGAAUUGGAUUUUACAUUUCUACCAUGUAAGUUGGAGAUAAGCACUUAUUGGACGAUAAUGGAGACUUUGAUACUGCGGUGUUUCUGCGUGUGUGGUAAGCUCCGGGUAAAUUAGGGUACAAUUGGAUUUACAGGUCUUGGAAAACGGUAUAAAUGGAUCGUGGACAUUUAUGCAAAUUUAUAGUUUUAUGGACGUAAGUAGAGAAAUGGGACCUUUGCGUAGAUUUAUUUUAUUCGUAGAAAUAUCGAAAUGUCUUUAUACCUAAAAGUAUUAGAUUGUAACAACGUUAGAAACCUUAACUAUGGAAUUCUUUAUUAUCUCGCUACUCUAUCAUUCCGUAGAAAUAUUCUAUUCAGCAUUUAGAAUACGAUAUAACCUUCAUCACGUAAAUUAAUCACAUCAUAGCCGAAUAAUAUAAUUCUUAUUUUCCGGUUUUCCUUAUAAGACGUCAUCCUUAAAUUUUCCAUUGAUCGAUCUUCAGGCGAGCUAUUAUUCCGUUAAUCAAUGACCAUUGUGAUGAUCAAGAGUGUACGGUAUUAGACUUCAACGUCCGAGAUUCGAGAAACCUUAGCAAUAGUAGGAUAGUUUCACCACAUAGCUCCAUAGGAAAUCAUACUUCUGAGAGAAGUCAUGGCUCGCGUGAUCGAACAACCCAAAGUCAUCGACGAGACGUUAGUCACGUUUCAUGUAAACGUUCCAUCUAUCGAGUAAUCGAGCAAAGUACAAGAUACCCUCGCGAUACACGGUGACAGGUAAAACUGACUGGAUAAAGACAAGAGCCUCGUAGCAUCGCCUCGAAAACCCUGUUUAGCCUGGUGUGGCAUCGGGUUUGAAAAGCAUUCGUGGUCGACGUAACCGCAACAUAAACGAACGCGGUCUCGAAAAACAAGCUUGGCCAACAAAAAAACAUGAUUCACCACGUUGAAAUCCGCUCCGGGUUUCUCGUCGUUAAUUCUUGCAUUGUUCUCGUCUCGACUCGCUUCCUUUCCGCCAUUUCCUAUCGAUCUCGAGAAAUCGAGUCGGUCGUUCUACUUG